rnacentral:lncRNA from 1 species
UUUACACAUCCCAUGUACUGAAUAAGAAAGGGAUAAAGAGUUGGCUUACAAUCGCCACUUCACACAAUACAUAAAUAUAGCAUUACAUCAUCCAGAAUACAAUCAAGGUCCGACUACGGAACCGAAAUAAAAGAAGACCACCCCUAAUGCUACAGAUCCCCGAUCGCCCCAACUGGGCUCCACUACUGAUCAACUGGAAACGAAACAACUCGACGCACACGAUCUUCAUCGAGCUCCCACUUGAGCUCAACUGCGUCAUCUGCACUGUUAUCAACGGCACCUGCAAUUGGUUUUGGAAGUAAUCUGUGAGUCACAAGGACUCAGCAAUCUCACACCGUCGCGAUCAAGACUAUUUAAGCUUAUGGGUAGGAAAGGUAGUGAGGUGGAGCUGCAGCAAGCACUAGCAUAUAUGGUGGCUAACUUACGCAAAUGAGAGCGAGAAGAGAUGCAAAGCACGGUCAUGAACUAGAAGUGAUCAAGAAGUGAUCCUGAAACUACUUACAUUCAAACAUAACUCCAACACCGUGUUCACUUCCUGGACCCUACCGAGAAGAGACCAUCACGGCUACACACGCGGUUGAUGCAUUUUAGUUAAGAUAAGUGUCAAGUUUUCUACAACCGGACAUUAACAAAUUCCCAUCUGCCCAUAACCGCAGGCACGGCUUUGAAAGUUCAAAACCCUGCAGGGGUGUCCCAACCUAUCCCAUCACAAGCUCUCACGGUCAACGAAUGAUAUUCCUUCUCCCAGGACGACCCGAUCAGACUCGGAAUCCCGGUUACAAGACAUUUCGAUGAUGGUAAAACAAGACCAGCAAAGCCACCCAGAUGUGCCGACAAAUCCCGAUAGGAGCUGCACAUAUCUCGUUCUCAGGGCACACCGGAUGAGCAAGACGCCGGGUUGGCAUAAACCCUGGUUGCCCAGGGGGCGCCGGACAUUGCUCAGGUUGGGCCAACACUUAGAGAAGCACUGGCCCGGGGGGUUAAAAUAAAGAUGACCCUUGAGUCUGCAGAACCCAAGGGAAAAAGGCUAGGUGGCAAAUGGUAAAACCAAUGUUGGGCCUUGCUGGAGGAGUUUUAUUCAAGGCGAACUGUCAAGGGGUUCCCAUUAUAACCCAACCGCGUAAGGAACGCAAAAUCAAGGAACAUAACACCGGUAUGACGGAAACUAGGGUGGCAAGAGUGGAACAAAACACCAGGCAUAAGGCCGAGCCUUCCACCCUUUACCAAGUAUAUAGAUGCAUUAAUUAAGUAAGAGAUAUUGUGAUAUCCCAACAAUAACCAUGUUCCAACAUGGAACAAACUCCAUCUUCACCUGCAACUAGCAACGCUAUAAGAGGGGCUGAGCAAAGCGGUAACAUAGCCAAACAAUGGUUUGCUAGGACAAGGUGGGUUAGAGGCUUGACAUGGCAAUAUGGGAGGCAUGAUAUAGCAAGUGGUAGGUAUCGCGGCAUAGGCAUAGCAAUAGAGCGAGCAACUAGCAAGCAAAGAUAGAAGUGAUUUCGAGGGUAUAGUCAUCUUGCCUGAAAUCCCGCAAGGAAGAAGAACGAGUCCAUGAAGAAGACAAGCGGACGUAGAUGAACGGAUCCUCACAACUCCGGAACGAAACCGAAUCUAACGCGAGAAGUAACCCGGAAAGAAGCAAACAAACAUAGUAAACAACCAUCACAUAAGCAUGGCAUAAUGUGCAAACAAGUAUGAUGCAUGUCCGGUUUAAAUAUGCAUGGCAUGGCAAAGUGCAACAAACAACACUACAAAUUAAGUGGAGCUCAAUAUGCAAUGAGUUGCAUAUUGACAGAACACCACAUCAAUUAUUUAGUUCACUCCCAGUUAUGUACCCAACCAAAUUAAAUGUUCUUAACAUGUCAAGGGGUGAAGCAAAUGAAAACUACCUAUCUAGGCAAGUUUAAAUGAGGCCGGAACAACAAGCAACAAGUCCGGAAAAUCCUCACGUGCAUAUUUAUGGAUUUGGUACUGUUGUUCCCUAAACCAAAUUUUAUACUUGUUAAACAUGCAAGAUGAGUGCACCAUGUUAAACUAGGCAUUUUCCCACCCCAUUUACAUAUAAAGUUUAUUAAAUUUGGAGUUAUGGUUAUUUAGUUAUGAAUUAAAGCAUUUUAGCAUGGCAUAUGGACAAAAAUUACACAAACAGCAUUUUAAACAUUUUACAGAUGGAUGAAAGUUGGAUAUUGUGAAACUAGAUGAAAUUCUAGUCAAGUUACAUAUAUAAAUUAUUUAGAUCCGAAGCACGGUUGUGAAGUUAUUAAAUGCAUGAAGUUUAGGGGCCAUUCUGCAAAACUGGCACUCUCUGUAAAAUACCUAAAUUCGUCCCGAGGAAAAAAAUACUACACGGGCCGAAUCCUGUUGGCCCAAUAGGAAGAGGGGA